rnacentral:lncRNA from 1 species
GUUGUUGGGUUUGUCUUCUCUUAGCCUUUCUGCUAAAACCAUCUCCUGACUUAUAAAUUCUGGAUCUCUCUGUUCCUCCUGACGUCUCUCUAGAGUAAUUUGCUCAAUUCAGUUCAGCUGAAUUUCACAUUCAUUGUCCACUUUUGAGGUGCCAGAGCCUUAGCCUGUCCUAGGCCUAGAAGACCUCUCUGUGCCCCACUCCACACCCCAGCCCUGGAGUGUCCUAAAACUGAGGAGAGGAAGAGUGAAAGAGACCAUACCUCCUGCCCUCUACAGUCUCCUGAGCAAGGACACACAGAAUACCAGAGGGCACGAAGAAGGCGAUAGACACAACCCCUCCCCCA